UGCACUGCACGGUUCUGCAUUCAGCAGUUUAUUCCUGCCGGGGUGUUCAAAGCUCAGUGCCGCAGAAAUUCAGUAUCUGGCAUCUUUGGUUUUCUUGGCUUUGUGCAUAUUUAACCUUGUAUUUCUGUUGAUAUAGUA
rnacentral:snoRNA from 1 species